GAAGCGUCUCUGGGGAUGGCCCUUUAAAUCUGGCAGAGUCAAGCAACUGCAGCCCUAAAGUGACCAUUUUGUAGCUGUUGGCUGCAUCUCUCUCCCAGAGGGAAAGUACCUGUUAUGUUUUCCUUUAUUGCUGAAGAGAUGGGCACAGUCUUGUAGACCACAGCAGAGUGGAGACUGUUUAUAGAAACAGCGAUGUGGUAUCUGUUGGUUAAGUAAAUUGUAGUGCUGGAGUACAUGCAUUUUGUGAUUGUAACAGGAAAAGGAGUUGGGCAAACACACUGUAUGUAUAAAAAUUAUUCUUGCUGUGUUGGCUAAGGUGUUAAGAUCCUGCUGGUCCAUCAGGAUUGCUUGUUCCUCACGUUAGAACAUUCACUAUUGUCAUAUUCUACUAUAAUGAUACUUACCAAUUCUGUAGUGCUUUAAACCUGAGCAUCUCUGAGCACUUUACAGAUAUUUAGGUCCUGAUUCAGUAAAGCCCUUAAGCUUAUGCUUAACUUUAAGAACAUGCUUUAAUUUCAUUGAUUUAAGAACAUGUGCUACCCAUCUGUGUGUCUGUAGUCACUUGUCUUAAACUUAGAUUGUACUCUCUUUGAGCAGGGACCAUCUUUUUGUUCUGUGUUUUUACAGUGCCUAGCACAGUGGGGUCCUGGUCCAUGACUCGGGCUCCUAGGUGCUAUGACAAUACAAAUAAUAAAUAAGAAGUUACACAUGUUUAAGCACUUUGCUAAAUUUGACUUUUAAUCAUUAAGGCCCAGACCUAAAAUCUCUGUGAGGUAGGUUUAGUGGUUUACAUUUGAAAAAGCCUGUAACUUGCCCAAGAUCAAACAGCUAUAAGCUCCGGACCAUACUUUGUUUUUAUCCUGUUUAGUAAAAAAAAUUACUAAUAAAUGCUAGUCUGGAUUGGACAGCUGAAAUCAGGAAUGUAGACAAAACUACUAUCACUGGACCUAUACGUUGCAUAGAUAUGGAUUAAACACUGACACUAUUUGCUAAAAUUGCAGGGCAGGAAAGGUCAACCACAUCCAGUUCCUCAGACUCGCUAUGGAAAUCCAAGGGGAGAGUAUGUUAUGAAUCCUAGUACACUUUUAUCAUCCUAAGUGUUCCUGAAACUCUUUUUUAGGCUCUUUUCUUCUGCUUCAAAAGGGUGUAUAAUCAUAGUGGUAUCCUGUCUACUGUAGACUGAGCUAUAUUAACAGAACACAUUUAAUUUAGGGCUUAGAUGGAGCUAUAGUCCCUUUGUACCAAUCAAUAAUUUAUCCACUGUUUCCCCUUUCUGUAUUAGGCAAUGCUUUUACAUAUAUAUAUAAAAUAAGUAUUAAAUAAAAUUAGGUAGAAAUAAUCAGAGUUGAUCAUCUCAGUAUCAGUUAUGGGCAUGUAACCGAUAUUGAGCUGAUCAACUCUGAUUAUUUCCACCCAAUUUUAUUUAAUAUUAUAGUGCUUGUCCAUUUGAUUCAAUAACCUUAUUUGUCUAGUCUUUCAUUUUCUCUCUCAACUACUUAAUUUUUUAUUCUCUGCACCUCAGUUUGCUGCUUGGAUUAGUGGGAGACUGAGACACCAGACUGAAUAUCAGUGAGAGACGGUGUAAAGUUCAAACGGUAAGUCUUUUCUACCUGCUUUGGUGAACCAAAUUCUGUCAUAGCAUUUUGAAAAGGGGUUUGGGGUUUUUUUUUUUUUUUUUUUUUACAAAUACUUAUAAUGGGAGUAAAAUAAACAGCUUAGGUAGUGUAACAAAAGCAGUAAAGAUAUGAAACCAAUGGUAUUAUUGACAAAAAUAUCUGAAUGGGAAUCUGUAGAAAGGCUUAAUAGCCACUGCAGAUACACCACAGCUCAUUGAUGAACUGGUAACUCUAAGUUUAAAGUCACUUGCCAUAAAUACAAGCAAGAGAUGAAAACUCCUGAAAAACAUUUCCAUUUUAAGAGGGAGGUUUAUUAAAUUCUAAUAGUGUUUGUGUUUCCUUUGUAUUGCAGAGUAGUUGGACAGAGGAGGGCAGCUUACUUGUCCCAGCACCAUUAGACAUGGGAUGGAAUCAUGGUCCUAUUGAAUUCCAUGGGAGUUUUGCCAUUAACUUUAAUGGGGCAAGAAUUUCACCCAACUCCUUCCAUUGAACUUGAUAAAUGGACUUCAGUAGGGACAGAGAGGGCUCCUGGAGGAGAGAGUAGCAGUUUGGUGGCUCUGGCUUGCACAUGGACCUGCUGUAAAUGGCCACGCAGAAGCUGCAGAGAAGGAAUGACCAUCAGAAAUGGCCUAUAUUCUAGGAACCCCUGAGGGACGCAUCUUACCAGGAGAAAGCUGACUCCAGAGUGCUCAGCCUCUAUGGAGCUGGAGAAGGCCUUAGCUAGGCAAAGGGAUGCCCUUUUCUUGCACUGGAUAGCCCCUACCUGAAUAGGCUGCUGAUGGCUUCCUUCAUGCCCCAGCCAAGUUUUCUUCCUUGUCCCCCCGCGUGGAGGGCAGCACCCGGCUGUGCAUAUUACAGCCCAACGCCGAUUGUAAGGGGCAAUGCUCUACUGCGGCCAAGGUAUUGAUUCAGCCCCUCUUGUUCUGCUUUUCGGGGACCUACCUCGCUGGCUGGCUAAGGCCAGAGAGCACUUGCCCCUGGUUGGGUGUGGGGGCAAGGCAGCCUCGGGCACGCAUGUGUCUUCCCCACUGCUGGCUCGCUGCUGCCCCUCGCGUGCCUCGGCUCGUGGCCAAAGCACGUCCCCAAAAGUUGUCCUGGCUGCUGCAAGCCACGCGCGGGAGCCCAUCUGUUCUGCCGCAGAACUCCGCGGGCGCCGUGCAAACGGACAACAAUCGCACACCGCGCCUGGAGCCGUCACCCCGGCGGGGUGCAGAGCCCCGUGUGCAUCACCACUGCGGGGGGCGGGGGGUCUGUAACAUUGUGCGUUACCGGUUACAGCCAGGAUCUCCCGGCUCAGCAAGCAAAGGAGCGAUUAAAUAUUUACUGCUAUCCGGGCCCUGCUUUUCGGAAGUGUGUUCGUGUUGGGGGGCGCGGAUAUUUUGCGGGGAGUCAUGUCAGCUCUUGUAUAUCCCUUUGUCAGUGCAAGCACUCCAGCAAGAGAAAGAAAGGAAAGUCUGAAAGGAAAGGCCGAAAUUAAAGCAAUCAGAGGGUUGGGUUUUUUUGUUUGGUUGGUUUUUUUUUUUUUGCAAGCAGUGUUUCCACUGAUUGUGUUUUACACCGAGAUAAUUCGCUCUAGAAUUAGACCUUGGAGAAAACUUUACAACAACAGUAACAACAACAACAACAACAACAGAAAGCAAGAGACAAAAAGUCCGCAUGAUUACUGGGGAGACCGCAUAACUUAGAUUCACCCUCGAGAUAAGAAGAGGAAGUGAAACUCAUUAGGGCUAGUGAAUAGACAGGGCUCUCGCUGAAUUGUUAUUUAGAUGCCUUGCGAAGGGAAGGUCGAAUUAUUUGAUCAGACUAUCGAACAUGUUCCGGAAUUGAAGGUUGAUGUGAAAAGAGAUAGCGAGUGGUUGAGUUGAAUGAGUAGUUCCCCUCCGCAGCCCUGCUCCUGGCAUAAGAAAGGGGAAUCGCUAGACCGGGGGUGAGGACAGGUUUGCGUAAAACGACCUCUCCCAUUUGUUUGUUACCAGUGGUCGCGGAUGGUUAAGUAAAUACCAGCUGCUGCCCCAUGAAGAGAAGUACAACUGUUCGCCCUAGAAGGGCGCCGCUGCUAUCGUGAUUAAUGCAACGGGAUUAAUUCAGCUGUCGCUUUUGGACCAGACAAACUCAAAGACCUGAUCCAAAGCCCCAGCCUUAGUCCAAUAACUAGAGAUUUAAACGGACUUUGGCUCAGGCCCUAAACACUGAACUGGAUGGCAAACUAUUCCUGCCGUGAUGGCCAUCAAACUCAAUGUAGUAAAUAUUUCCCCCUCUAAGUAGCUAUUCAGAGAUGAAUUCAAACUUGCUCGUGUCUCCGACUGGGCAGUGAUGCAGUAAUAGAGCCGGAUUCUGCUGUAAAAUAAAUCUUUCCGGACCUCAACCCAACACCCCCCAGAUGAAUGCACGUUAAGUACUUUGCUUUAGUACCAUACAACGCUGCGUGGAUCUGAGGGGUUCCGUUUACUCUGCCCCGCCGAAGAGCACCCCCCCCCAUGCCGGUAAAGAGGGCGCAGUUUUCUGAAAAUAACGUUCUUUGGGAAUCGGUCCAUCUGGUGGGCGGUCACUGGUUAUAACCUGCCCCUAGGGACAGUACCCGAGGGCCAGUCGCUGUCAGGCGAACUGCUGCGUGCUGAAGUUCCCCCGAGCCCAAGCCCUGCGCUGACUUCACGCCAGCCACACCCGGCUCCACGUUCUCUGCUCCCGGGGAA